GGUCCGAUGGUGUAGUUGGUUAUCACGUCAGUCUAACCACACUGAAGGGUCUCCGGUUCAAGCCCGGGUCAGAUCA